CCUGGCUUCAGAGAUUUUUAACGGGGCUUGUAGAAGCGGGGUACGAGCAUCAGGCCCUAUGGCAGCCUGUUUAGAAAACAACUAAUUAACUGCUGUAUCUGGUGAGCACUUGCUGUGUACUCGGCCCUGGAGAAGCCUAGGGGAGGUGCAAGAGUAAAAUCGGGGCUCUCUGGGUUGGGGAAAGAAAACAUCCCCAAAUAACAGACUUAUUUACAAAGAUGUGGCCCGGUGCUCAGAGCGAAGAUAAUGAGGAUCUCUGUGGGCUGCCACUUCCAGAGGAGGUGGCGUGUGGGUGGAGCCUGGAAGAGCCAGAAUAUUUGCGUUGGCUGAGAUAAAAGGGAAGGGGAUGGAGGGAGCCAAGGGAGCCAGGUGAGGGUGGUGUGGCCUUGGCCUCAGGAAUUGGAGGUAGCUUGUUCACGCUCCAGAUCAGGGGCUCUGGAAGGAAGGUGCAGUGAAUGGAAGUCUGACUUGGUUUUUGGACACGAGCAAAACAGGGUUCCCUCAAAACCAGGGCAUUUCUAGCUCCCGUGGCAUGAACGAGUACUGUAAGUGUGGCAGUAAUGCCUCAGGGUACCGAGUGCUCAGACGUGGGCGUGGGCUAACUGUGCAGCCGUGCUUCCGUGCCCUGAUGGGACAGGGCAGGGUCCUUCCACCAUGCCCACAAUCCCCACCUGACUGGGGAGGUCCACAGCCCCUAGCCUCCGUCGGCCACGUGUGCCCCCACACCCCUGGUCCCUGGCCUGCCCGACCGCCAGCCACCAUGUCGCUGUUUCUCCUCACCCCUGCUCUGGGGCCGUGCCGUCGGCACAGAAGGAUUCGUGGAGCACAGAAGGAUCCACGUCCUCGGCCUGUGGCAGAGGCUCAGCCCCGCAGCAGCACAGGUGUGUGUGAGACGCCCUUCGCCAUGCUCGGUGCACAGGGCGAGAGGAACUCCGUGAAGUGCCUGGGCCAGAAGCCUGGGAGUAGCUGUCUCCUGACUCCUGUUUGUGUGGGAGAGCCAGAACACACAGUUGUCCUGGAGUAAAGAUCCAGCUCAGACUAUAGGAUUGGCGUUAAAGGGAGUCUAGAGAGAGGGAAACCGAGGCACAGGUUAGCAGAGCAAGGCCAGGGGUCCCUGUGUGUCCUGACUCCCAAGAGAAGCUAAAACACAUUCAGGGUAUCACGCGUGCCGGCCGCUGUGCUUUGCUCCGAUAGAGUGUGUGAGCCCCUGAGCAGUCCUGGGAGGGAGGUGGCGGGUUGUGUUGUACAGACUGAAGCUCUGAGAGAGAAAUCACAUGAGCAGUGACUGGGGAGUCAGUAUUUAUGUGUUGCUCUGACUCUGGAGCUCAUGCUCUUAAUCACCUUUCCUCCCAGACUUUGCUAAAACUCUCCUCCUACCACUGUGCACCAGGAGGAGUUAAGUUCUUUAUGGAACCGAACUGGGGGUCGUUAUGCCAGGAAAUGUGUUUGAUGUGAUGGAGGCAAGGUGUGUCCUUGGGGUGUUUCACUGGCUGGGAGCUGGGGGUGCCCCAAGCAUUAGCAGUUGGAAGUUGUUGCUGUCUGUCAUGAACAACAGCUGUGUUGAUGCCAGGCCUUCCCUGGUCUUGUGGAUGUUGCUCCAGUUGCUGGCUCCUCUCAGAGAACUAGUCCCCCAGAUCAAUGGACCAGAAGCCCAUGUGGGAAGAGAUGCUGGGGUUUGUGCUGCGUGUGAGUCAUCAGUCUGGCGUGGCUGCCAGAAAGGCAGGCACCACCUUGGCCUGCCUCCAAGGGACGGGGUGCCCAUAUCGGGGAGGCAACGGGCCUGCUCUGCUGUGACCCCGCUGGGGUACAGGGUUCCCAGAUGGCUGUCUCCCUUGGGGAUCCAGACGAGGGAAGGGCUGGAAUCAAAGGAGAGGUGCUGAGGACCUACAAACCAUGGCUGAGGAGUGUAGAGGUGGGCUGCUUUCGCCUGCAAGAGUCUGAAACCCACAUCAGCCUGCUAAGCCAGAAAGGGAAUAUACGUUACAGGGUUACACUCCACGGGCUUAGACCAUGCUGUCCCUGGUCUACCUUCCUUGGUGUGCAGGCUGCCUCCACAUGGCCAGGGAAGGUGGCCCCUGCAAAUCCAGGUUCAUUUCCUCCCGGCCUCACCUCCCCUCAGAGUGAAGGAGAGGUCCCUCAGGGAGGGCAUGCUGGGCAGAAGCAAGAACCACAGCGGCGAGCACAGCUCCAGUGCAGAAUGUCAGAGGUUAGGUCAAUUCAGGGGAGACAUAGACAGUCUGUAAAGCUCUGAACUAUUUCCAGGUGCCCUCUGUGGCCCUAAGGGAGAGUUAGGACAAGUGGAGAGUAGCUAGAAGUAGACGGGUUUCCGUUUAGUAGGAAAGAGAUUUUUCUAAAAGGGCCACCCCAGGUCACGGUGGACUCUCCACCACGGUGCAGCUGAGGCCAGAGGAGCACUGGGUGGGAUGAGCAGCUGGAUCAGGAGCACCCUGAGGCCACUGGCUCCUGCCAGCAGUUCUCAACCUGUGGGUCACGACCCCUGAAAAUACAUCCUGCAUAUCAGAUAUUUACAUUACGAUUCAUAACAGUAGCAAAAUUACAGUUAUGAAUUUGCAACGGAAAUAAUUUUAUGGUUGGGGUCACCACAACAUGAGGAACUGUAUUAAAGGGUCACGGCAUUAGGAAGGUUGAGAACCACUGUCAGCUAGACACAAUGAGCGGACGCUGAGUCGGGCGGGGGCCCCUGAGACGCAGGCCUCUGUGGACACAAUUGAAUGGGCCUGGGCAUGGAGAUCAUGACAGGCACAGUCCCCACGGUCACCAGCUCCUUGUGAGAUGUCCCUCCCGGGUCCUUUCGGGGGAGGAAGGAGGUUGGCCUAGAGUUCCCCUCGUCUCUGCCCUUUGGCCACAGACUUAAGGAUCAGAGCCCAUCAUCCCCUCCAUCAGCGAUGCUCAGCUUCCGGAAUCAGGGUGUGGUGAUGUGGGGUUUUUUCUUCCUGAAAUGAGCAUUCCUGCUGCGGUGCCAAGCGAUCCCACAAAGGUGCACGCCACUGUCUUAGAAGACACUUUGUUUAAUGUUCUUUUGGGAAACAUUUACUUCUCUGGCGUUUUAGCUGGCGGUGCCACGGUGGAAAGGGAUCCACAUAGAUUAGGCGUCUCUCUCUGCCUGGCAGUGUUUGGGCACCUGGUGUUCUUAUCUCACUUAAUCCUCUCAGCAUCCUUGAGCAACGCAAUAGGAAUUAUUAUCCCCACCUUAUCAACCAGGAAUCCACGUAUCAGAGGGGUGACUUCUGCAGUCACACGGCUGGGAUUCAACCCGCUGACUCACUGCACACCUGCCACCUUCCUUCCGUGUACCAUGCAGUUCACCUGCCCUAAAGUUGCAUUCGCUGAAUUGUACUUCUGGCAUCGAAGUUCUGCACUUUAAGACCCUACACCCCGGCUGGGUCUGCAGGGGGGCGUGGGGGUUCCCUGUUGUUGACAGCUUGAACUGUUUUUCGCAGCCAUGAAGCACAGCUGGGACGGGAGGCAGAGGGGAGGGUGUCUGCCAGCUGCUCAGCUGAUGCCUUUGUGGGUAGAGUAGGUAGCAGUCAGCUCCAGAAAGGUGCUUGUCCCUGGUGAGGGGCAUGUCACCAGUGGCUCCAGGUGCCUGGCUCCCAGGCCCUUUCUGACGGUUUGAGCCUGUGAUCAGGGCUUCCCUGUUCAGGUCUGUUCCACAGUCAGCGUCCAGAGCGAAGUUCCUCAUGGUGUGAUCUGGGCACCACCUGCUGCAGGACCCCCUGGGAGCUCGAUAAAUCAUUGCAAGUCUGGGAUUCUGCUGAAUUAGAAUCUCUGGAGAUGGUGCCCAGAAUUCUUUUUUAAAAAUCAAGCUUUGCAGCAGUUCUUGUGCAUAUGAAGUUUGAGGUCUGUUGUUCUGGAGAAGAGCUUAUAAACUCUGGCCAUGAGCCAGAACAACCCGGGGAGCUCUUUAAUUGAGCAUCACUGCUUGGGUCCCAUCCCUUAGCGCAGUGGUUCUCAACCUUCCUAAUGCAGCGACCCUUUAAUACAGUUCCUCAUGUUGUGGUGACCCCCAACUUCAUUGUUACAAAUGGAACAUAAUUAAAGCAUAGUGAUUCAUCACAAAAACAAUAUGUAAUUAUAUUUGUGUUUUCCGAUGGUGUUAGGCGACCCCUGUGAAAGGGUUGUUCGACCCCCAAAGGGGUCGCGACCCACAGGUUGAGAAUCGCUGCCUUAGCGGCUCUGAUUGAAUUGAUUGCACUCAGGUAUUGCUCUUAAAAACCAACAAAAUCUCCCUCAGUGUUUCUGAUGUGUAGCCACGGUUGAGGGAUAUUGUUUCAAAGCACUGGUUCUGGAAGUGUGAUGCCAGGCCAGCGGCAUCAGCAAUGCCAGGGAAUUUGCCGGAAAUGCAAAAUCCUGAGGCCCGAGGCCUACCCCAGACCAGCUCCAGCUCGGUGAGGACUGCUGGGGGUGGGGCCCAGCAGAGCUGUAUACAGGGACAGGAAAAGUAUGCUUACAGUUGUUUGUAUGGAGAAAGAUGCAGGUUGUAGCUUUAGUCACACAAAAGAAUGUUACUCACAACUGUAAACCUACUUUUGCCCACCCCUGCAUUAACAAGCCCGCCGGGUAGUUCUGAAGCACCAUAAUGUUUAAGAGCCACCGUUGUGGAGUCUUCGUUCCCAAUCCUGGCUGCACAUUAGAAUCCCCCAGGAGGGCUUUUGAGCGUCCCAAUGCCCGGGCCCCGCCCCAAACCAGCUACAUUCGAGUCUCUCAGACUGGGACUCGGGCAUCAGUAUCUGUUCAGGUUUCUGAGUCAUUGCAAGUGCUCCAGCCAGGGUUGAGACCCACUGUCUGAGCCGGUGAGGACAGUCUUCCCUCAAAGCAGCUGCCAGCACUGGGAUCCUGGGUGAGACAUGGUGCCUUAGCUGCAGGUGCAGCACACUGUGGAGGUGAGGGUCUGCAGGACUAAGGAUGGCACCGCUCUAAAUGACAGUGUGUGAUGAGGGAGGACGAAGGAGACGGCAAAGUUGCUUCUCGAAGAACCCAGGAUCAAGUGGGCACGGAGCUCGGCUCUCACGUAAACAAGCCUGCACAGAGGUCCUUCAGGCAGAGCUUACCAUCUCCUGUUUUAUAGACGAGGGAACUGAACUCCAGAAAGGCCCGCCAGCUGGGAAGCCAGCACGAGGACUGAGUCCCAGUCACUGGACCGCAUAUAACACAUCCUCCUUCAGGGUCCCCUUGCCCAUUCCCCAAAUUCUGGCUCCUUCAAGUGUUGUUUGAUGUCUCACCUGUGACGUUUUGUUGUGUUUGCCUUUCUGUUUGGAACAGAUAAAAAAUAACGAACCUUUGAUCAACGUGCUUUACAGAGUGCUGAAGAAGUCAGCACAGGGCUGGCGGCCCAGGAGACGCGUAAGAUGAUCUGACCUGUGUCUCCAGGCGGGGCCAUCCCAUGCUUCUGGCUCAGUGCCAUUCCAUCACGUGCUUAACCAGGAGCUCUCCUGGCCACCCCAGGCUUCCUGCCAGUCGUUUCUGUUUAUUUGCUUUCUCUUAAGCUCCUGUCAGCGUGUUGGCUGGUGCACCAGGCUGAGCCUCUCAUCCGUACUGUCCUGUGAUUCCAUCUUUUGUGCUGCCACAGGGUGGCGGGGUGGGGACGGGGGCUCACCCAGCUUUGCUUUCAGCUUGUGUCAUGUCCCAUUCUCCCUCAUCUGCCUCCACAGCGAGGCCUGGCCUAGACAGAGACCAGCAUGGCCUGGGUAGUCGAGCGUGAGCCUGGGGAGGGAGCGGUUGUUCCUGGUCAUCUUGGAGGAGCUGGGUGUCCUCGGAGUCCACCGUGGACCUGCAUUAAAUUAAGGUGGCUCUUCUUCGGGGCAGGGUGUGAUGUCUGGAGCUGGACUAGAACAAAAUAGGACCUCCCACCCCUCGCUUUGACCGAUGCAGAAGUAGCGCCUGGAACACGGCCAGCUUUUGUCGCUUUCAAGGGAGGAUGCGGGUUGUGAGGCAGGUGCUACCCCUGGUCAUCCUGAGCCCUGAGAAGGGGUCCCUGGGAGGUGGUGGAGGGGAGUAGGAGGGCUGGGUCACCUUCAGUGCCUUUCUGAUGCAGACACCAUUUGAACCGACACUUGAUGUCGUCAGUGGAUUUAAACAUUGCUAACACAAAGCACAGUCUUAAAAGGGGAAGUAGAUGUCAUACACUUCUUGCGGAUAUUUCAUAGUCGUCUCGGCUCUCCGGGACAGCUAAAUUCAGAAGCUUCAAGGGCCUCUGAGCUGUGUGAACUCGAUCACAAAGCCCAGCUCUAACACCUGUGGCCGGGCCCUGAGCACAGCCAGCUCACCUGGUUUUGUUGCGAUCACAGACUCACUAAGCAAACAUUUCCCAAAUAUCCUCAGUGUGAUGGGCCCCGGCUGGGCUUUGAGGAUGCAGAGAAAGUAGGUCACAGUCUGACAGUCACCCCUAAUUGGGUUAGUUCCUAGUGAGGGGAGACAGAACGUUUCAUCUGAUGUACUAAGGCCCUUGUUGUGGGAGACACAGGUGUGGGACCAUCUCCCUGGAAGGGCACCAAACCCAGCUACAGGGAGGGAGACGGGAAAACAGCAAGAAUGUCACCUGCAUUGGAUUUCUAAUCCUAAGAGACUCAGUCCGAGUUUGAAUUCCUAACUCACAGCACCUUAAGAGCAGCUCAUUGAAAGGGCACAAGGGAAAGUUACUUCUUUGAAAAGAAGGAGUGCUAAUACCCCAAGAGAGAAAAAGAAACAUUACAUGUCCAUCUAAAAUGGACAUGAAAUCACAGAAAUUUGGGAGCACUUAAUCAAGGGCCAAUAGCUUCUAAGAAAUUCUAUAUUACUGAUUUUUUAUAAUGAUUGACUCGUCCCCCCAUAAACGGUUGAAUAUAUAUAUAUAUUCAUCAUUCUGUGAUGGCAGUGAAGGGCAUACUUUUCGUAAGCACUCCACCAAAAAAAAAUUGAAAAGGUUCGGCUUUCUCAAAAUGCCCUUUUUGUGUAGAAUCCCUCACUUAAUUCCUGGUGGUGCUGGAUAAACGAGGCAUCGCUCAAUUAGAUUCUCUGCCUCACUAUUUCAGUAUCGAAAAGAUCUCAUCUGUAAAAAGCUUCAGUGAUAAACGGGGAAGAGUUUUGCCGGGAGGAAAAGUCCCCAAAGCAUAUCUCGUUUUGAACAUGAUUUCUUCCUGGGAAAUGAGCCGAGCGUCAGCCCCGUGGAGGCUAGGCAAGCUCUGCCCUCUGCUUUGAUGAAGGACUGUGCACAGAGUGAAGACUCCACUGCGUUCACCUGCUGGGUUCCCCUGAGUUUAAAGGCCCAAGUCCUACCUGGGAAGUUCAGCUGUUUGUGGCUCACCAGGAUUAAUUCCACCGCCUCCCUCUCCCCUUCUGCCUGUUUGUUUGUGGAUUGUUGCUGGAGUCGGUGUGUUCCGUGACUGUGUGUAUACGUGUAUGUACACAUCAUCUGUCAGUUUGAAGAGCAGAAUUUGGCUGAAGUCCCAUUUUUUUCCAGGAACUCAACAGCACUGACUUACCAGUAUUUCCCUUUGACCUACUUGCGAUGCAAGGAGCCUUUGUCAAGUCCCCUUCAGUGCCAGGCCUUGUGUUCGGGGCUGACUUUACUGAGAUAAAUAAGACAGUGGUCCCUGCCCUCUACUGUGUGGCCAAAGGGAGCCUGGGAAUGGGUGGGGGCGGGUCUGCAGUCCUCAGGCCAAGGCAUGGAUGGAGAAGGCAUUCUCCUUUGACCUUGACCUUUGCUGAUAAUGAUUGUCAAGGAGAGGGAGUAUAGGACAGUUGGACACAUGGGGGGGGGGGGCUUGAGUUCUGAAGGAAAUGCUUGCCAAUAUAUUUCUAUUUCUGAUUCACAUUCACAAACUUCGUGGACCUUCCAGAUGGAGUAGGGAGAAAGCAAGGGCCAGCAGCUGUCUGUCCAUCCACACUGGGACACACCACCACCUAUCUAGGCCAUGGUUAGCUACGCCCUGUUUCCCUGGUCAGAUCUGCAAAAUGGAGUUCCCUAAGUGGGGGUGGGGGGGGGCACAUUCAACUGGGCGGUUCCUGCCCAUGGCUUGGCCAUAGGGAGAGGGCAUCUGUGUAAGCCCCCUCGCUUCCCCCUGCACAGCUUUCGGCAAGAAAUGAUAUUUAGGGAAAUGAAAACAUAGGCUAAAGAGUUAGGUUUAGCUUCAUAGGGGUCAGGGAGGGAUGGGAAACUUGUUGCCCACGUUGGGUCAGGCGGGGAUGGGAAAUGUGAAAUUCCACCUGCCCAUAAGUUUGGGUGAUUUUUGUUUAUUGCUUUGUGGCUUCCUGUCUUGAGAGGACGGGGUAAUAUACAAGUACGGCCCAACAUCAGUUAUUUCAGGAUCACUUGAAAACCCCAACCAGGAAUUACCCAGGUUCCUUCUUCCCUUGGCCAGGUCCUCUUCCCAGAUAGUUAGAGUGGGGAAGGCUGACCUUACUCACGGGAGGUGGGCUGCUCAGACACUUCCUGAAGCUAAGGCUUGGCAUUGUCCCGGGGAUUCGCUCAUUCCUCCUGGUCCACCCACCCCACUGCCCUGGACUUCAGGCACUUGUGUUUGACUCCAGAUUCAGUAGGAAAACUCUCUUGUCAGUGACAAAUCUUCCAAGAUUCAUACUGAUUUUGAGCAAAUAGAAACUGCUGUAGUUGACGAUGCUAUAAUUUGAAUAUCUGCGUUCCCUUUAGUUUGAGAAAUUUACAAGUGCUACUAGAAUCUUGAAAAGGUUUCAGUUUUUUCCUAAAAUGAAAUAGGCAUGAAAAUGAAGUAGAUAGUGCCUCAGUUUUGCCCCUCCUGUGCUGUGACCCUGCCUGCCGCUGCCAAGACUUCCACACCCAUCCAUCGCGGGGCUCACUUUCCUUCUGGAGUUUGGAUCCCAAACCCUGUGGUUAAAUCUCCUUCACCUUGUUCAC